rnacentral:rRNA from 1 species
GACGAACGCUGGCGGCGUGCUUAACACAUGCAAGUCGAACGGAAAGGCCCUGCUUGCAGGGUACUCGAGUGGCGAACGGGUGAGUAACACGUGGGUGAUCUGCCCUGCACUUCGGGAUAAGCCUGGGAAACUGGGUCUAAUACCGGAUAGGAGCCAUUUUUAGUGUGAUGGUUGGAAAGUUUUUUCGGUGUAGGAUGAGCUCGCGGCCUAUCAGCUUGUUGGUGGGGUAAUGGCCUACCAAGGCGGCGACGGGUAGCCGGCCUGAGAGGGUGGACGGCCACAUUGGGACUGAGAUACGGCCCAGACGCCUACGGGAGGCAGCAGGGGGGAAGAUUGCACAAUGGGCGCAAGCCUGAUGCAGCGACGCCGCGUGGGGGAUGACGGCCUUCGGGUUGUAAACGCCGUUCGCUAGGGACGAAGCUUUUUGUGACGGUACCUAGAUAAGAAGCACCGGCUAACUACGUG